ACUAAACAUUAGACGUCUUAUGGACGUGCAGAUCAUGUCUAUAUUGCGUCGGUCGGUCCAAGACCAAUUCUGUACGUCUACACGACGUGCAAACUAGGUCCGCUAUUUGGACGUCUAACUAUGACCCCACUUGGACGUCAAUAUGCAGUUAAACAUUUGAACGUCGGACUAGGUCACUUUUUUGGACGUCAUGGGGACGUCUAAUACAGGUGCAGGAAAUUAACAUUAUUUAAGAAUAUAUUUAUUUUUAAAUGUAUGUCAAAAUUGUUGUUAUCAAUAUUGUUAAUCACUAUGAAUAUAGAUUAUUUAUGAUUAAGCAUCAUUUAUUUCUAAUUAUUUAUUUGAGUAUUAUAUUUUUUAUCUAUUUAAUUAAUUAACGAAUGUAGGUAUUUAUUUACGUAUGUUUUUAUUUUUAUUUGGAAAUGCAAUUUAUGUGGAAAAUUGUUAAGUUGAUUUCAACCAGUCAACACCACUCUGAUUUGCUGAGACCGCACGUCAUCAUAAACUCCACUCUGAUAUGCCGAGGCAAAACACGCUAAACAUUUUUUGGCUGCUGCAGUAGCUCAGCUCAGCUCAGCUCAUUCAGUUCAGCUCGCUCAGCUCAGCUCCGCUCCGGACCGGACUCAGCUGCCACUAAGCUAUAAGAUGGAGUCAUGAAAUGUGACGGGACAGCCACCGAGGACUUCAUACUUCGGAGCAUCUCAAACAUGCACCACAAAGACGUGGAGGACACACCGCUGUCUCUCAGGACCUAGAAUCUUAAUGAAAGUAUAAUGAUGUUAAGGGAAGGUGUAGUGGAAAGGUGUGAUAGUGUUGAGGGAAGGUGUAAUAGUGUUGAGGGAAGGUGUAAUAGUGUUGAGGGAAGGUGUAAUAGUUUUGAGGGAAGGUGUAAUAGUGUUGAGGGAAGGUGUAAUGUUAAAGGUGUAAUAGUGUUAAGGGAAGGUAUAAUAUUGUUAAGGGAAGGUGUAAUAGUGUUGAGGGAAGGUAUAAUAUUGUUAAGGGAAGGUGUAAUGUAAAGCUGUAAUAGUUUUAAGGGAAGGUAAAUGUUUAGUGAAAUUGUUAUGGUGUGAAUCUAAGGUGUAUGUUAUGUUGAUGUAAAAUAAAGGCAUUAACCCCAAAUGAGAUUUACUCAUUAUUUUUAUUAUUAUAUUAAUGUUUCCCCAAACAGAAAGGGUCAAUUUAAAAUCAACAGUGGUAAGAUGGGGGUAAUUAAUUUAUCCUUUGCUUUUACUGGUUCUUUGCAGGUUGACAUGUUUUGGAAAAAGUGAGAGGGUUGAAAUGCAAUUUAUUUGUAAAGCAUAUUGUGUAUAACUAACGUGCAUAACUAGUUCCAGAAGGUUGUGAACCUGUUCCAGUAAUUGUUUGGCUUAGCUUUGUAUGCGUUUCCAGUGAUCUGCUGAAGCUGGAACAAUGGAACAGUUGCCACCGUCUGAAAUGGCACUACAGUUAUGCAGGGAGCCUCAAAGUAGCUGGUCUAUAAAAACGAAUACAUGUAAAUUUCACGUAGAAAAGACGUCCACAACGACUUAAUUUAAACUAGAAUUAGCCCUUAUCCGGAGGUCUGGGGGACGUCAAUACUGGACGUGCAGAAGACGUCAGAAAAAAGACGUCGUCUGGCGUCACAGUCUGCACCUUCAGGAGACCAAAAUUGGACGUGCAAAAAUGACCUAGAAAAGACGUCGUUUCAACGUCUCUUUGUUUAGUGGGUU